GACGAACGCUGGCGGCGUGCCUAAUACAUGCGAGUCGAACGCUUCUUUCCUCCCGAGUGCUUGCUCUCAAUUGGAAAGAGGAGUGGCGGACGGGUGAGUAACACGUGGGUAACCUACCCAUCAGAGGGGGAGAACACUUGGAAACAGGUGCUAAUACCGCAUAACAGUUUAUGCCGCAUGGCAUAAGAGUGAAAGGCGCUUUCGGGUGUCGCUGAUGGAUGGACCCGCGGUGCAUUAGCUAGUUGGUGGGGUAACGGCUCACCAAGGCCACGAUGCAUAGCCGACCUGAGAGGGUGAUCGGCCACACUGGAACUGAGACACGGCCCAGACUCCUACGGGAGGCAGCAGUAGGGAAUAUUCGGCAAUGGACGAAAGCCUGACCGAGCAACGCCGCGUGAGUGAAGAAGGUUUUCGGAUCGUAAAGCUCUGUUGUUGAGGAAGAACAAGGGCGUUAUUAACUCACCGUCUUCUGACGGUACCUAACCAGAAAGCCACGGCUAACUUCGUG
rnacentral:rRNA from 1 species